rnacentral:ncRNA from 1 species
CUUAUUAAGAGAAGCGGAGGGACAGGCCCUGUGAAGCUUCGGCAACCUGCGGACGCAAGGUGCCAAUUCCUGCGGUGUAACCGAAAGAUGAGG